GUAUUGUAUUGCGUUAAACGCGUCAUGCAUUCCAUGAGACUUUGUUACAGAGUGUGUGUAAAGACGUAGAACCACGACAGGAGGACAGAGCCCCCCAUGCCACAGAGCUACAGAGGGUGCACAGGUGUGAGUGGAUGUGUGAACAGAGCGUGCACAUGCCCUCGUUUGAGGACCAGCAACAACCCAUGUCGACGACUCGGUAAUGAUCCUUCCGCAGGUUCACCUACGGAAA
rnacentral:misc_RNA from 1 species